rnacentral:tRNA from 1 species
UAUACCUAAGUAUUUUUGUACAGAAGUUUUUGGAGCUUUUAGAGAUAGUUUAGCCUAUUAGGUGUAA